rnacentral:rRNA from 1 species
AGUGGCGAAAGGGUGAGUAAUGUAUGGGCAACGUACCCCUGAGAUCAGGAUAACUACUGGAAACGGUAGCUAAUACUGAAUGGUCAGGAGCCGAGGCAUCUCGGCACUUGUAAGCGGUAGGGAAACCUUCUGCUCAGGGAGCGGCCCAUAUCCUAUCAGCUAGUUGGCGGGGUAAUGGCCCACCAAGGCAAUGACGGGUAGCCGAACUGAGAGGUUGAUCGGCCACACUGGGACUGAGACACUGCCCAGACUCCUACGGGAGGCUGCAGUCGAGAAUCUUCCGCAAUGGGCGCANAGNCUGACGGGGCGACGCCGCGUGCAGGAUGAAGGCCUUCGGGUUGUAAACUGCUGUUGCGCGCUAAGAACGCCUCGGAGUUAAUAGCUCUCGAGGUUGACUAUCGUGUGAGGAAGCACAGGCUAACUCCGUGCCAGCAGCCGCGGUAAUACGGAGUGUGCAAGCGUUACUCGGAAUCACUGGGCAUAAAGAGCACGUAGGUGGAAUCGCAUGUCGGUGGUGAAAUCCCCCAGCUCAACUGGGGAGCUGCUUCCGAAACUGCAAUUCUUGAGGACGAGAGGGGAGAGUGGAACUUCUGGUGGAGCGGUGAAAUGCGUAGAUAUCAGAAGGAACACCGGUGGCGAAAGCGACUCUCUGGCUCGUAUCUGACACUGAGGUGCGAAAGCGUGGGUAGCAAACAGGAUUAGAUACCCUGGUAGUCCACGCUGUAAACGAUGGGAACUGGGCAGGGGAGAUCCAAUGUCUUCCUUGCUGGAGCUAAUGUGUUAAGUUCCCCGCCUGGGGAGUACAGUCGCAAGGCCGAAACUCAAAGGAAUUGACGGGGGCUCACACAAGCGGUGGAGCAUGUGGUUUAAUUCGAAGCAACGCGCAAAACCUUACCUGGGUUUGACAUGCACGGAUUAGUCCAUGGAAACAUGGAUGACGCCCGCAAGGGUGGAACGUGCACAGGUGCUGCAUGGCUGUCGUCAGCUCGGGUCGUGAGAUGUCGGGUUAAGUCCCUUAACGAGCGAAACCCCUACCGUUAGUUGCCAUCGGGUAAUGCCGGGUACUCUAGCGGGACUGCCGUGGUCAACACGGAGGAAGGUGGGGACGACGUCAAGUCCUCAUGGCCUUUAUGCCCAGGGCUACACACGUGCUACAAUGGCGCGUACAAAGGGAAGCAAACUCGCAAGAGCCAGCAAAUCUCAAAAAGCGCGCCCCAGUUCAGAUUGCAGGCUGCAACUCGCCUGCAUGAAGCCGGAAUCGCUAGUAAUCGCAGAUCAGCUAUGCUGCGGUGAAUGUGUUCCUGAGCC